CCUACGGACGCAGCAGUGGGGAAUAUUGCACAAUGGGCGCAAGCCUGAUGCAGCCAUGCCGCGUGUAUGAAGAAGGCCUUCGGGUUGUAAAGUACUUACAGUUGGGAGGAAGGCGUUGAUGCUAAUAUCAUCAACGAUUGACGUUACCAACAGAAGAAGCACCGGCUAACUCCGUGCCAGCAGCCGCGGUAAUACGGAGGGUGCAAGCGUUAAUCGGAAUUACUGGGCGUAAAGCGCACGCAGGCGGUUGAUUAAGUUAGAUGUGAAAUCCCCGGGCUUAACCUGGGAAUGGCAUCUAAGACUGGUCAGCUAGAGUCUUGUAGAGGGGGGUAGAAUUCCAUGUGUAGCGGUGAAAUGCGUAGAGAUCUGGAGGAAUACCGGUGGCGAAGGCGGCCCCCUGGACAAAGACUGACGCUCAGGUGCGAAAGCGUGGGGAGCAAACAGGAUUAGAUACCCGGGUAGUC
rnacentral:rRNA from 1 species